CCUCCUGGGCAUUGCCAGCUUUGAUUUGCGGCCACCUCCGACCCCUUGGCACCGGUGUUUGUCACUGUCCAUCGCACACACAGAGACACGCACACACACACACACAUGCAGCCGCAUCAGAGCCCCUCACAGCUCGACCGAGCCCCGUCCGGCAUCGCCCCGCUCGCUGUCCCCGAUCCGGGGUGUGUCAAGAGUUUCUUGCCCACGUAACACAGAAAGAACCACCCAUCAACACCAUGGUCACAGUUGGUCUCUUCUGCGCAUACAAAAGCUUCAUUAGUCACAGCCAUCAGAAAGGCCUUCAGAGUCUGUGAGUUAAAGCUGCCUCAUACGUCAGUUUUUGCAGAUCCUGAAUGCAGAGGGGAGCAAGACAUCUGCACUCCUGAGACCCUGUAGAUGCUGGAUUUUAUGAAGAUCUCAGCUUUGAGAGGGGCGAACCGCCGGUCCCGGCUCGAUGCAGUUCCCCACAGGAGCACGAGGGGGUGCUGCAGGACAGGCUGUAAGCGUGUGGCGCUGUUCAGGGCUUCACCCUCUGCCCGGGCUGUCAUUGCUGAGCUCUUCCCUCUGCCCUGUCAAUAAGAAAAAACUGGUCUCACUGC